UGAGUCUUCUUGUCUAGCUUUGUCUUGUCCAAAAUCUUAAUCGCUACUUUCUCUGAAAAGAAAAAUGCUUUUCCAUGUUCUUUAAUGCAAUAGAUACAUGCACAG